rnacentral:lncRNA from 1 species
GACCAGUCAUGAGAAAAGCAGGAGGAGUUGCUCAUUAGGCUGAUGACUUUCCAAGGCAGGAAAAGCGAGAGAUCCCUCAGUCACCCAGCACUGCAAAUCCCCCACCUAGUGUGUGUUUCCGGAUUAUGUCUGAAGCAGGGAUGCAAACGUGGGGAGGAGAAGGUGGUGGAGGUAUGGAAGGACUCUUUGGAGACCAAGAAAUCUAAAGAGAAGCUUGGAAUCCAAAUGAAUGCUAAGCAGUGCCAGUCACCACAUGGUAGCUAUACCUGUAUUUUCCAUCAGACCACAUUAUGCAUAUUAGACUGGCUCUGAAAACUUCAAUUUGUCCAUCUGAAUUCCAGCUGCCAACAGGAGCAACUGUCUGGAGUGCUUAUGUCCCCUAAGAAGAAAGAAAUAGACACUGUAAGAAAUAAAUUAAAAAGGUAUUUUUUUUCUCCUUCCUUA